rnacentral:misc_RNA from 1 species
UGCAAUUUGCGCGUACACUGCAA